AACGCGAAGAACCUUACCCAGGCUCGAAAUGUAAUGGACGAUAUCAGAGAUGAUAUUUUCCGCAAGGACUAUUAUAUAGGUGCUGCAUGGCUGUCGUCAGCUCGUGCCGUGAGGUGUUGGGUUAAGUCCCGCAACGAGCGCAACCCUUAUCAUUAGUUGCCAACACGCGAGGUGGGGACUCUAAUGAGACUGCCUGGGUUAACCAGGAGGAAGGUGAGGAUGACGUCAAGUCCGCAUGGCCUUUAUGUCUGGGGCUACACACGUGCUACAAUGGUCGGUACAGAAGGCAGCAAGACCGUAAGGUGGAGCAAAUCCGAAAAGCCGAUCACAGUUCAGAUUGUAGUCUGCAACUCGACUACAUGAAGUUGGAAUUGCUAGUAAUGACGUGUCAGCAACAACGUCGUGAAUACGUUCCCGGGCCUUGUACACACCGCGAGC
rnacentral:rRNA from 1 species